GGCCCUGGAAUAGUCGGGAGGAUGGGUUUUGGGGGAAGUGGUGGGUGAGAGGUGCAGCGGGGGGGGGGCAGAAGGGCAGAGCUCAGGGGUUGUCCAUGCCCGGGGCUGUGCCCCUCCUGGGGACACAAGAUCGUUCCCUGCUGUGCACAGUGUGGGGAGGCUUGAGCAGCACGGUGAGCCCAGGGAGAGCUUGCCAGGCUUUUAUUCUGCUUCCUGUUUGGUGUUUGGGAUGAAUCCCCCCACAGGAAGAGCUGGCAUCUCCAUGGCCACAGGCCCAUCCCUUGCAUCCCACCCCAUUCCUCCUUAUCCUUGCUGCCCAGCCUGGGGGUGAGCCUAACCUAAAAGCUUCCAACCUGCCCCCUCCCUCCCAAGCAGCACCCUUCCUAGCAGCAGGAUCUGGCCCUUGGCAGCAUCCCAGGGAUGCCAGGCACUUCCCUCUGCCCCUAAAACCCCACAAAUUCAGAGGUCAUCAAAGUUCAGCCACCAAAUCCCUCAUGGGGUUGGCAGAGGAAGCAACCCUGCAGAUCCUGGGAGCCCCAGUGCUUUCCUCGAAGACAGUGAGUCAAACUUCUUGCCUGGGUGGAGCAGGCAGAGCCGGUCAGGGGACUUGGUCCCAUUGCUGAUGCAGCCUCGACAUCUGAUUUGCUUUCAUGCAUGGGUGAAUGUGGCUGUGGCUGGGGGAGGAUGGGGUGAUGGUGCUUGCGAGGGGGUCUUUCCAGGAGCCCGGGUGGGUGAUGAGGGCUGUGAAUAAGGACGCAGCAGGCGAUGCGAACAUAUGACUCUGAGCUGGUCGGGAUGCAGAGGAUGCAGCCAAAAAAGGCUGUGACCAGGCAACGCUGUGUUUAAUUGCAAUAAGUGCUUCCCUUCCCCAAAAUACGAGGGGACCCUACUGGUGACGCGCUCCUCUGCGUCAAAGCCCAACGUGGCCUCGUGGUCGGUGCGUUGAGCCUGGGGCUGCUGAGAGCAGGGACACAUGGGGACCGUGCCACCGAGCACGUGGGUGCAGCGUGCACCGGGCUGACACUUGACCAAGUAAUGCUGGAGGAAAUUGUGAAAGGGCGGCCAGAUGCCGUCUGCAUCGAGAAGUGGAAGAAGUGCGAGCUACGGGGAACCCAUGCCAGGAGGUUCCCACAGUGUCACCGGGGCGGGAUGAGGGAAGGUUGAGGUGGACAGACCUGCCAUGGGGAGUCACUUGGGUCCAGUCUGUCCUUGGAGGUUGGAGGAGCUGGGUCUGUAGUGGGUUUAUGUGGCAAGGUUUUGGUAGCAGGGACCAUAGGGGUGGCUUCUGUGAGAAGAAUCCAGAAGCUGCCCCAUGUUAGAUAAGGGCCCUGCUGCUCGCCAAAGCUGGGCCCAUAAGGGAUGUUGUUUGUGCCUCUGAGAGCAUAUUUAAGGAAGAAAAAACACUGCCACACAGUAGCUGACAGAGGGAAGAGUGAGAAGCAGCCCUGCAGCCCCCAAGGUGGCAUCUCCUGCACUCCCCGGUGCUCCCUGGUCCAGGAUGGGUGCAGACACCCAUGGUCCCCAGUCCCCCUGUGCUGCUUCCAGACCAAUGCAGCUGGGGUUUACUGGGGACAUGCGGUUGCUGAGUGGACACAUAUGGCUGUUUUUUCCCUGAAAGGCAAGUGCUUCCUGCCAGAAAAACGUCAUUCCAUCGAUAAAUACUCAGAAUGGAAAAAUGUUUGACCUUCCCUAUUGUGUGACUUCCAUGGGAAGUUGGCCAGGGAGUAGAAGGAGCUGGCUCCCAGUCUUAUUCAGCCCAGUGCAGCUUCUGCUGGACACCAGGAGGGACGUGUGCCUGGAUGCCAUGAGCAUCCAAGACCUUUUGCCAGCCAGCAAGGGCCUGAUCAAUGUCCUAAAAAUGCUCUGUGUAAACUGUUAUAAAAGAUUCUCCAAACUUCUGAGGACUUGGAUGCUCGCUCUGUCUUUUUUGGCACAUCUCAAUCUGUCUUAUCUGCAAGACCCAAGCAACUUGUUCGGAAUAGACCAAAACAAAAGCUGGUGUUUUUUUCUCCUUGUUUGGAAGGUGUUUGCUGUCUGUGGUACCGACAGACAUGGCAAAAGUAAGAGAAUAGUAAAACCAGGUGGUUAACCAACUGUUUAGAAGAUAACUACAAGUCACCAGGCUUCUCAUCAGCAAGGGCUGAAUAUGCCAACAGGGCUGGGAAAGGAGCUUAGGAUUUGAUGUCUUCCAGUUGCUUGUGCAUGAAGAUGCUUGAAUGUCUCACCUCUGCAUCCAGGCCCUGGGAGACAGGGGAUGGAUCAUGCCAGCCCGGCCAGAGGACCAUGGAGGCCUCCUGAGAUGCCUCCAGGAACGUCCUGGGGCCACUAAGUGUCUGUGUCACUGCUGUCAUGGGACACAGGUGGUCCUAGAGCGAUAUGUGUGUCGGAGCUGGGCCUGACACCGGAGUGAUGCUGGUGCCUGCAGAGUGCCUGCUGGUGCCUCCCUGGUCUUUGCCCGUCUGCUUGGAGAUGCCUUGGCCAAGGCUGGCCCAUGGGACUGCAGGGAGCUGAGCCUAAGGGGGAGCUCUGAGCUGUCUCAGUCCCUGCCAGCAAGAGAUGUCCACAGACGUGCUGGGGUUCAGGUGCCCUCAAGGUGAUGUCCAGAGCAGUGCUGCAGGAUGCUCCUCGAGCCUCUCUGCGAGAUGCCACACCGGAGGGCUAUGCAGAGGGUGCCAGCCAGGACGGCUCACGCACAUGGGCACUCCAGCCCAUAAAAAGGCUUCAGCAUCUGGCUCCAGAUGCUGAAAUUGGGUGACUGCUUGAAAAUGUCAGCUUGCACUAAAAAAAAUAAAGCAGCAUGCUUCUAGCUUUCAGGGUGGUGCAAAGCCAGACAUCAAGAACACAGACGGCAAAGUCCUGGGGCCAUGGGCAGUCUGGGGAAGGCUGAGGAGCAGCAGAUGGAGAGGAAAGCCCAGUUCUGCAGCAGCUCAGACCACAUAAGCGAUGCUCCAUACGGCACCAUCCUCACUGUCGCCUUCGCAGAUAGCUUUUUUGGCUACUAGGCUGGUUAUUUAUAACUCUCCCCUUUUGUUUUUAUUUGUGAGCAACAGCUCGUGGCUGCAGGGAGGACAGAUACAGCCAGCCCCAGCGUGCAGGAUGCAGCCACUUCUCAGAAGAACGGAAAAGGGUUUGCAGGUCCCAGCUGGGGACACCAGCCCCAGGGAGGGGACACCACCCCAUGGGACGCACAGCACAGGUGUCCCUACAUACAGCAAGGUGGCCCCCAGCUCCAGGUCUCCCCGGGACACAAGGGUGACCCUGUGCCAAUAAAAGGGGGCUUGAGGUGCAUUUGACCUGCAGUCCUGCUCACCGGAGGGGUUAAAUCUCCUCCUCUGCUCCUGGGAAUUGCUGGCUCCCUUCCAGCCUGCAUAAGCCUGUUUUGCCUGCCAAAGUCCCACUCAGGGUGCUGACUGCUGUUGCGGGUUUCUUUGGCUGUAAACAGCGCUGCUCAGUGGUGUGGGGCAGCUGCGUGUCUGCCUCUGGCACCACUCCACAGCACGGGGCCGCUUGAGUGGCACUGAUGGAGAGAAAAAGCUGUGAUGGGGGAAUAUUCUCUGUUUAGGGCUUUUCACGCUAUCUCCAGGUAUUUUGAUAAUAUUCAUUAAUUAUGAUCUGGCAAGAGUUGCCUUCCUGUUGCUGGGACAGACACCAGCCAUGGAGCAGGCGCUCAGCAGCAGCUCCACACGGCUCCCUCGCAUGGCGUGGCUUUGCUCUCCAGUGGGAGCACAGCAGUGGCCCCAGUUCCUGCCACUGAUUUGGGCUCAUUUCUGCCAAAAUCCCUUGGAGGGAUGGUGCUGGCGCUGGUGGGGAUCUGUGGCCACGGCGAGAACGGGAUGCACGGGUCAGCGGUCGCUGUGUCUGGCCAAACCCUGCUGCUGGCUAUUUUGAAACACACGUGGGGACUCACUGCCUGGCUUGGUUUUCCCCUCCCUGGCCUCAUCACCCCAAAUAUUUGGGGCAAAGGAAGAAGUGUGCUGCUUCUCACCAGGGUUUUGCUGGCGUCACCUUUGGUCCCUGGGAAGGACUUGGGAUGAGAGUGGGGUGGGAGCAGUGCCCAGCUCGCCGGAGGGGUUAAAUCUCCUCCCUGCUCCCCAGAGGAGCCAGCUCCCUUCCAGCCUGAGUAAGCCCAUCCUCGCCCCUGCCAAAAUCCUGCUCAGGAACGGCACAGACCAGGGAAUGCGCCUAGCAUAACA